rnacentral:rRNA from 1 species
AGAGUUUGAUCCUGGCUCAGAUUGAACGCUGGCGGCAUGCCAUACACAUGCAAGUCGAACGGUAACGCGGGGGCAACCCUGGCGACGAGUGGCGAACGGGUGAGUAAUACAUCGGAACAUAUCCAGUAGCGGGGGAUAACCUAUCGAAAGAUGGACUAAUACCGCAUACGAUCUACGGAUGGAAGCAGGGGACCGCAAGGCCUUGCACUAUUGGAGUGGCCGAUGUCGGAUUAGCUAGUUGGUGGGGUAAAAGCCUACCAAGGCGACGAUCCGUAGCUGGUCUGAGAGGACGAUCAGCACACUGGAACUGAGACACGGUCCAGACUCCUACGGGAGGCAGCAGUGGGGAAUUUUGGACAAUGGGCGCAAGCCUGAUCCAGCCAUGCCGCGUGAGUGAAGAAGGCCUUCGGGUUGUAAAGCUCUUUCGGUGAAGACGAAACGGUUCAUGCUAAUAACGUGAACUAAUGACGGUACACACAGAAGAAGCACCGGCUAACUACGUGCCAGCAGCCGCGGUAAUACGUAGGGUGCAGGCGUUAAUCGGAAUUACUGGGCGUAAAGCGUGCGCAGGCGGUUUGCUAAGACAGGUGUGAAAUCCCCGGGCUUAACCUGGGAAUUGCGCUUGUAACUGGCAAGCUAGAGUGUGGCAGAGGGGGGUGGAAUUCCACGUGUAGCAGUGAAAUGCGUAGAUAUGUGGAGGAACACCGAUGGCGAAGGCAGCCCCCUGGGUUAACACUGACGCUCAUGCACGAAAGCGUGGGGAGCAAACAGGAUUAGAUACCCUGGUAGUCCACGCCCUAAACUAUGUCAACUAGUUGUCGGGGAAGAGAUUCCUUGGUAACGAAGCUAACGCGUGAAGUUGACCGCCUGGGGAGUACGGCCGCAAGGUUAAAACUCAAAGGAAUUGACGGGGACCCGCACAAGCGGUGGAUUAUGUGGAUUAAUUCGAUGCAACGCGAAAAACCUUACCUACCCUUGACAUGCUAGGAAGCCCGCAGAGAUGUGGGUGUGCCCGAAAGGGAACCUAGACACAGGUGCUGCAUGGCUGUCGUCAGCUCGUGUCGUGAGAUGUUGGGUUAAGUCCCGCAACGAGCGCAACCCUUGCCAUUAGUUGCUACAUUCAGUUGGGCACUCUAAUGGGACCGCCGGUGACAAACCGGAGGAAGGUGGGGAUGACGUCAAGUCCUCAUGGCCCUUAUGGGUAGGGCUUCACACGUAAUACAAUGGUCGGUACAGAGGGCUGCCAACCCGCAAGGGGGAGCUAAUCCCAGAAAGCCGAUCGUAGUCCGGAUUGUAGUCUGCAACUCGACUGCAUGAAGCCGGAAUCGCUAGUAAUCGCGGAUCAGCAUGUCGCGGUGAAUACGUUCCCGGGUCUUGUACACACCGCCCGUCACACCAUGGGAGUGGGUUCCACCAGAAGUAGUUAGCCUAACCGCAAGGAGGGCGAUUACCACGGUGAGAUUCAUGACUGGGGUGAAGUCGUAACAAGGUA